rnacentral:lncRNA from 1 species
UGGGUAUUUUAUUUUGUAUGCAAGCAAAAGGCAUAUUGUUUCGAGACUUUGUUUCCCUCGGUCGACAUAAUCACCAAGAAAUAAGUAGUUUGCACUAGGGGGUAAUCCACCGUAUUCGAAUAGGCGUAGAAGAUCAGAAUAUUGACCGUGGAUGUCACCUGAUAAUCAUGCAAGAAAAGCAUACCACAAAUCUUAAUAGGUGCUUCAAGUUCCAACAAAUUAGGUUGCUUCAAGAAAAUCUCUCUUGAAACAACACAAAGUUGCUUAAUUUCAGGCUCAGUAAGCAUCACCUGCUUACCAGGUCUC